ACGCUCGCUUUGGCAGCACAUAUACUAAAACCGGAGCAACACAGAGAAGAUUAGCAUAGCGCCUGCUCAAGAAUGACACACAAAUUCAUGAAGCGUCCUGCAUUUAA
ensembl:snRNA U6 U6 spliceosomal RNA